UACAGAGACCUCAAGCGUUAUCCGGAAUCAUUGGGCGUAAAGCGUACCGAUAGGUGGUUUUACAAGUCAGAAGUGAAAUCUCUCAGCUUAACUGGGAGACUGUCUUUUGAAACUGUAAAACUAGAGGGGCAAAGAGGAAGCUGGAACGAACGGUGUAGUAGUGAAAUGCGUUGAUAUCGUUCGGAACACCAAUAGCGUAGGCAGGCUUCUGGGUGCCACCUGACACUGCUAGGACGAGAGCGUGGGUAGCGAAUGGG
rnacentral:rRNA from 1 species